rnacentral:rRNA from 1 species
AGUGAACGCUGGCGGCAGGCCUAACACAUGCAAGUCGAGCGGCAGCGCGUCCGACCACCCUCGGGUGGUCGGAUGGCGGCGAGCGGCGGACGGGUGAGGAAUGCAUCGGAAUCUGCCUCGUUGUGGGGGAUAACGUAGGGAAACUUACGCUAAUACCGCAUACGACCUACGGGUGAAAGUGGGGGACCUUCGGGCCUCACGCGAUGAGAUGAGCCGAUGCCGGAUUAGCUAGUUGGCGGGGUAAAGGCCCACCAAGGCGACGAUCCGUAGCUGGUCUGAGAGGAUGAUCAGCCACACUGGAACUGAGACACGGUCCAGACUCCUACGGGAGGCAGCAGUGGGGAAUAUUGGACAAUGGGGGCAACCCUGAUCCAGCAAUGCCGCGUGUGUGAAGAA